rnacentral:rRNA from 1 species
AUACGUAGGGGGCUAGCGUUAUCCGGAAUUACUGGGCGUAAAGGGUGCGUAGGUGGUUUCUUAAGUCAGAAGUGAAAGGCUACGGCUCAACCGUAGUAAGCUUUUGAAACUAAGAGACUUGAGUGCAGGAGAGGAGAGUAGAAUUCCUAGUGUAGCGGUGAAAUGCGUAGAUAUUAGGAGGAAUACCAGUUGCGAAGGCGGCUCGCUGGACUGUAACUGACACUGAGGCACGAAAGCGUGGGGAGCAAACAGGAUUAGAUACCCUGGUAGUCCACGCCGUGAACGAUGAGUACUAGCUGUCGGGGGUUACCCCCCUCGGUGGCGCAGCUAACGCAUUAAGUACUCCGCCUGGGAAGUACGCUCGCAAGAGUGAAACUCAAAUGAAUUGACGGGG